CCUACGGGAGGCAGCAGUGAGGAAUAUUGGUCAAUGGGCGAGAGCCUGAACCAGCCAAGUCGCGUGAGGGAGUACUGCCCUAUGGGUUGUAAACCUCUUUUGUCGGGGAGCAAAAGCCGGACGUGUCCGGCUGUGAGCGUACCCGAAGAAAAAGCAUCGGCUAACUCCGUGCCAGCAGCCGCGGUAAUACGGAGGAUGCGAGCGUUAUCCGGAUUUAUUGGGGUUAAAGGGUGCUCAGGCGGAUUUUUAAGUCAGCGGUCAAAUCGUGGGGCUCAACCCCAUCCAGCCGUUGAAACUGGGGAUCUAGAGUGUGCGAGAGGUAUGCGGAAUGCGUGGUGUAGCGGUGAAAUGCAUAGAUAUCACGCAGAACCCCGAUUGCGAAGGCAGCAUACCGGUGCACAACUGACGCUCAGGCACGAAAGCGUGGGUAUCGAACAGGAUUAGAUACCCCAGUAGUC
rnacentral:rRNA from 1 species